rnacentral:tRNA from 1 species
UACGAUGUGUCUGAAGUUGGUCAUCAGGCGGGCCUCAUAAGCCUGUGCGAAAGCCUCGGCGGUUCGAAUCCGCCCAUCGUUACCA